UAAUUUAUAACAUAAGAUCAUAUUAAGUCAGAACUUAAGCCUGAUAAGACUCUUUAUGAUUCAAACUCAGGAUUCUACUGCCUCCAACAAAUAUUAAUUUGAUUUUACUAUUAAUUUUCCUAGUAAUUACAGAUUCAAUAUUUGUAUAUCUCUUUUACUAAUGAAAGGCUUUCUUUAUGCCAUUCAGUCAACGUUUUUCAUCAGCUAAUACUUUCAAGUAAUUAAAAAAUGAGAACAAAAC
rnacentral:lncRNA from 1 species